rnacentral:rRNA from 1 species
AGUAGCCGCGGUAAUACGUAGGGUGCAAGCGUUAAUCGGAAUUACUGGGCGUAAAGCGUGCGCAGGCGGUUUGUUAAGACAGAUGUGAAAUCCCCGGGCUCAACCUGGGAACUGCAUUUGUGACUGGCAGGCUAGAGUAUGGCAGAGGGGGGUGGAAUUCCGCGUGUAGCAGUGAAAUGCGUAGAUAUGCGGAGGAACACCGAUGGCGAAGGCAGCCCCCUGGGCCAAUACUGACGCUCAUGCACGAAAGCGUGGGGAGCAAACAGGAUUAGAUACCCCAGUAGUCCCUGUCUCUUAUACC